UCCCGAGCUUACUAAGUAUUCCCACAUUAAUAAAUUUGUUUAUUUUUUUUCUACGUAGUGUAUGAGCAGUCCCUAGCUAAUUUUAAACCAAUUAAAAUAGUUAUUAGAACUAUUAUUAAUAACCGAAUCAUGCGAUGGAUUUGUAGCCAUUUGUGUCCACAUGAACCUCUAAAACAAAGUUAUGAAAAAGAGUGCACGAAAUUAGGGACCCAUACAAAUUGUGGGUUCCUAAUUUCGCCAACAACAAAAAUGUUGAAACAAAAUAAGAAAAUUACAUUUUUAAGUAAUAUUAUUGCGUAUUACAAUAAAACAUAUUGAAUUGAAAUAAUCAUACAUAAAUUGGAAUAUUUACCUUUGAUAGAGAUCGAAAUAUUUGUUCACUUCCGUGAGUGUUGAUUUUCUCGUAUCUCUGAAUAUGGCAUAUGCUAUUUGAAUACAUUUGCAAUUUAUUUUUCAAUCUUUGACAUAAAUCAAAUUUUUCAUAUCUUUUUUUGUGAAUUGUAUUGAGAUUAAAUGCAGUUUUGAGGUUAAAACAAAUUUUGGAUGAUUCCGCUGUUAAUUAGAUAAUAAUGCUCUCAGAUGUCAGAAGUUAACGAAGUUUGGGCCCGCACGAAAUUAGGGCACCACACGGUAGUUUCCCCUGGUGUCUUGCAAACAUUUUCCUCAAAUGUCUGUUUUAGCUCAACCUUGUGUUAUGCAUUCAUGCAUUCUUGCCGAGAUCCAUAACCGUGGUAUCUUGCUUUAAGCAGAACUAUUGUCUUGGAAUGUUCAAUCUCCGCUCAACCUUCCAUUAUGGACUACCGUCAGUGUACCAGUAGCCGCUCAUGACCCAAUAGCCGCUCACUGUUGCAAAAAUCAAGUUUACACGCCUAAAUACACUCUUUUCGGUGCUGAUAUUCUUGGACAAUAUCAAUUAGACGAGAGCAAAGCCAUUUUAUGAAAUAUUUACCGGAUAACAUAAAUUUUAAAAACAAAACAAUGAAUUUUUUUGAGCGGCUAUUGGGCCCAAAAAAUCUGUAGCUAAUUUUAUGUGUUCCAAUAACCGCUCACGCAAGAAAAUACAUCAAAAUCGUAAAAUCUGCCGAUUUUAGUACACAGUUUGUUUAACCCCUAUUAUACACUCCUACGGAACAGGAAAAAAUAAUUGUAAAAACAUAGAGUUGCAAAAAUAAUGCACUUUUCCGCAAAAGUCUAUUUAAAAGAUGGCAUAAAUUUGUUCGUGAGCGGAAUUAGGACCACUUUGGUCUCACACCAAAUGUAAUAAAAUCAUACUUUUAUGAAAAGUUUUACAUAAGUCUUGAUUUCCCUGCCCUUCGGUUCAGAAAGGGGUAUGGGCGCGUUCUGCCAACUUGGUCGAGGCAGAUUUCUUGUGAGAACAAGUUGCAUACGGACAUUCAAAAGUGCCUGAACGAAAGAUGCUGCUUGUGAGGAUCACUUGAAGAUCGGAUGGAAGAUCAUUCUUUUUUUUUUUAGAAUAUUCGCGUUCGUCUAUUUGUUGCUCUUCGUGUUCGUAUAUUUUAAGUUUCAUCUUCAACUGAGUUUGAUGAACGCUGCUGGUCAGCAGGGAUGAUCUUCGCAUCUGCAUCCGUUGAACCAUUCUGAAUGGCCGUCGUGAAAGUAUCACCAAAAGCGCUACUAACAUUUCUUUUAUAUUUUCAUGUAUCUGAGUAUCAUGAGUGAUAGCAGUAAGCAGGGAUAGCAGUGAAAAAUGGAAGUAAUGCAGUACGACGGUGGUGCGAUGCUGGUUAAAAAAUAUCGCUGGAGAUGAGCAUUGUUUGUACUCAGCCAUGUCUAAGACGUGCUCCGAAGUCUCAGGAAAGGAAGCAUGCAUAAAGCACUAAUCUACAAAAUCUCGGGAAAAAGUUGGAAGACCUUAUUUCACGUGAAAAUCCAGCGGUAGACAAGAGGUGGAUAUGGACGGAUGUUCGUUGAAAUUGGAAGGAAAUUGGUAAUGACAGCCUAAUUUAAGAAAGCGACGAAGAUUGCAGCAGGAGAUAGUGAAGUUGGACUACGAAGACGAUUUUCUAGAAACCGCAGACAGCAAAUGACAUAGGCUUAUCGUAUUUCGACGGAGGUGGCGAUGAGGACGAAGCAGCAUUCCAAGAACAUAACCAAAAUUUAAUCACAACUACCUACCACAAAAAACAA